rnacentral:rRNA from 1 species
UACGUGGAGGGCAAGCGUUGUUCGGAAUUACUGGGCGUAAAGGGCGCGUAGGCGGCCUGCUAAGUCGAACGUGAAAUCCCUCGGCUUAACCGGGGAACUGCGUCUGAUACUGGAUGGCUGGAGUUUGGGAGAGGAUGCGGAAUUCCAGGUGUAGCGGUGAAAUGCGUAGAUAUCUGGAGGACACCGGUGGCGAAGGCGGCAUCCUGGACCGGCAUUGACGCUGAGGCUCGAAAGCGUGGG